GGGCUUAUGGUGUAAUGGUAACAUCUCAUGAUCUAUAUAUGAAGGUUAUAGGAUUAAGUCCUAUUAAGUCCA